GCCUUUUGUGAGAAAUUGUGUGUUUCAAGUGACUCAGACUGUAUGCCUGGUUUCCAAUGACUGGAGCAAUUAUCUGCAGCAGUGUGUCAGGUAUUAUAUGUUAAAGCUGCCAGACAGGGUAGGAGCCACUUGCAUAUGCCAGCUGCUCAUGGCUAGUUGUCCUCACACCUGGGACCAGCAGUUACCAAGACUGCCUUUAUUUCAGGGCAUUUCCCUUCCCUUCCUUUCAUGGCAUCAGCUUUUGGUACCAUUCUCUGUUGGUGUGAGGAAAGGAACAUCUGGAAAGUCAACAGGCUUCAAGAACUAGGAACCCACAGUGAGUCCUCACUAGCAAGAAGACCCAAACCAGAUGUAGCCCCUUGACCGUGGACGUCUCAGCCUCCAGAAUUACAUGAGAAGACUAACUCCAGUAAAGAGAAUUGCAACCAUCAUAUCACUUAGGCCCUCGGUUAUGAACAUAAACACCCAGGAAGAAGAGAAGAGAAAAAGGACUAGGGAGAAAGAAGAAGAAAUGCUCAUUUAUACAGUUUCCAAGGGGUAUUAACCACAUCCAGAAGGAAACAUCCAUAAUACAGAUGUGCUGUGAGUACUUUUUCAGUCAUUAAGAAGGGCAUUUUAAUGUACUUAAGAGGAGUGAACACAUGCCAC